GGGAAGUGAGCACCUCCUGUACCAUGACACCAGUGCAUGGGGCACUUGAGCUUCCUCUGAGCAAGCAAAGAAUUUUACUGUAAUGCUCUGUGUGGAAAAGAGGAUUAUUCUGAAAUAAGAAUCAUUGUCAUUAAAUUGAAUGCAGGACAUUGGACUUAAAUAAAAGAGAAAUGGAAAAACUCAAUAAAUC